rnacentral:tRNA from 1 species
GAAAUGAUAGUUUAAAUUUAAGCCGCUAACUUAAUUAUUUUAAUGGUUAAAUUCCAUUACAUUUUA